CGGGCCUGGUGAGCCUGGGUGAUGCCGUUGACGCGAGGCCUCCACGGAGUCCCCCCUCCCCCGGCACCGUCCCCAGCCUCCCUGCAACUCUCACGCGAGGCCCCUAGCCUCGGUUUCCCAGCCCGCUCCCUCGCUUCUAAACGUGGUGCUGCUCCCGCCCCACUCCAGGUGACUCCGGCCCCCCAGCCCCGCCCCAGCCAGCGGCCGGAGGAGGCCCCGAACGUCGCCGCAAGCGGUCAAGCCACCCGGGCCGAGGGCACGCAGAAGGACCGCUCCUAGGCCCCGCGGGUGGGUCCGGCCGCCCGCAGCCUGGAGACUGCGCAGCUGGACCCGCGCGCGGGAGAGGGGCGGGGCCUGGCGGUGGGAGGAGGUGGGUCCAGAGGCUGCCGAGGGCGGGAGCCUGCGGGUCUCGGGGAGCGUGGAGAGGCGCAGCCUCGGAGGAGCCGGGUGGUUGUAGGAAGGAGGUGGGGCCCGCCGCGGGCUCAGGGGACGGUGUUGAGCGAAACGACCAGGGCGGGUCCGAGGGGCAGGGCCGGAGACCAAGGGAGCGUGGAGCCUCCAGGACUCUCGGAAGGGAAGGGCCUCCAGGAGCUACUCUCCAGGGGCGGCGCUAGAUCCACGCAAGUGAAGGCCUGCAGGGGGCAGGGCCGGCCCAAAGAUCCAGAAGGGGCGGGACUAAAGGAGGUAUUGGCCCCAGGACACAAGGAACACCCUGGGUCUGACUGGCGCUCCGAUCUCAAAGAUGCAUGCCUGGUGCUGCCGCCGCGGUACUUGUGGAGAUGCGGGUUCGAGGCCUAAGCCCGGGCCCCGCGCUGCCCUCCCUGGUCCCUCAGUGGCGUGGCUGCGCCCUGCCCGGCAUUGAGUCGCUCAAACAGGUAUUCGCCACUGGAGCAGUUUGUGCAGAGGAAACCCUUAACUCCUCAGGAAGCUUUUGAGCCUCCCCGUGGCUUCUGCACCCCAGUGUAGGCAAUGUUUGCCCCACCCAGGUAGAGCUUUUCGCAGAAGUCACAGCUUGGGGGCGGGGGUAUGUCCACCCAGAAAAAUCUCCUAGCUCCCCCAUCCCAAAAUGAAAACUCAUUUCUGGUUAUUUUGUGGUUACCCUUUAAAAACACUAGACCUGGCCGG
rnacentral:lncRNA from 10 species